GACGAACGCUGGCGGCGUGCUUAACACAUGCAAGUCGAACGGAGCACCCCUGAAGGAGUUUUCGGACAACGGAUGGGAAUGCUUAGUGGCGGACUGGUGAGUAACGCGUGAGGAACCUGCCUUCCAGAGGGGGACAACAGUUGGAAACGACUGCUAAUACCGCAUGACGCAUCGAAGUCGCAUGGCUUUGAUGCCAAAGAUUUAUCGCUGGAAGAUGGCCUCGCGUCUGAGUAGCUAGUUGGUGAGGUAACGGCCCACCAAGGCGACGAUCAGUAGCCGGACUGAGAGGUUGGCCGGCCACAUUGGGACUGAGAUACGGCCCAG
rnacentral:rRNA from 1 species